rnacentral:rRNA from 1 species
AACGGAAAGGCCCUGCUUGCAGGGUACUCGAGUGGCGAACGGGUGAGUAACACGUGGGUGAUCUGCCCUGCACUUCGGGAUAAGCUUGGGAAACUGGGUCUAAUACCGGAUAGGAGCCAUCCUUAGUGUGGUGGUUGGAAAGUUUUUUCGGUGUAGGAUGAGCUCGCGGCCUAUCAGCUUGUUGGUGGGGUAAUGGCCUACCAAGGCGGCGACGGGUAGCCGGCCUGAGAGGGUGUACGGCCACAUUGGGACUGAGAUACGGCCCAGACUCCUACGGGAGGCAGCAGUGGGGAAUAUUGCACAAUGGGCGCAAGCCUGAUGCAGCGACGCCGCGUGGGGGAUGAAGGCCUUCGGGUUGUAAACUCCUUUCGCUAGGGACGAAGCUUUUUUGUGACGGUACCUAGAUAAGAAGCACCGGCUAACUACGUGCCAGCAGCCGCGGUAAUACGUAGGGUGCGAGCGUUGUCCGGAAUUACUGGGCGUAAAGGGCUCGUAGGUGGUUUGUCGCGUCGUCUGUGAAAUUCUGGGGCUUAACUCCGGGCGUGCAGGCGAUACGGGCAUAACUUGAGUGCUGUAGGGGUAACUGGAAUUCCUGGUGUAGCGGUGAAAUGCGCAGAUAUCAGGAGGAACACCGAUGGCGAAGGCAGGUUACUGGGCAGUUACUGACGCUGAGGAGCGAAAGCAUGGGUAGCGAACAGGAUUAGAUACCCUGGU